rnacentral:misc_RNA from 1 species
UACGGAGGGUGCAAGCGUUAAUCGGAUUUACUGGGCGUAAAGCGCGAGUAGGCGGUCUUUUAAGUCGCGUGUGAAAGCCCCCGGCUCAACCGGGGAAGUGCGCGCGAAACUGGAAGGCUUGAGUCUCGGAGAGGGUCGCGGAAUUCCCGGUGUAGAGGUGAAAUUCGUAGAUAUCGGGAGGAACACCAGAGGCGAAGGCGGCGACCUGGACGAAGACUGACGCUGAGAAGCGAAAGCGUGGGGAGCGAACAGG